UACGUAGGGGGCGAGCGUUGUCCGGAAUUACUGGGCGUAAAGGGUGCGUAGGCGGCCUUUUAAGUCAGAUGUGAAAUACCACGGCUCAACCGUGGGGUUGCAUUUGAAACUGGGAGGCUUGAGUGCAGGAGAGGGAAGUGGAAUUCCUAGUGUAGCGGUGAAAUGCGUAGAGAUUAGGAGGAACACCAGUGGCGAAGGCGGCUUCCUGGACUGUAACUGACGCUGAGGCACGAAAGCGUGGUUAGCGAACAGGGUUAGAUACCCUGGUAGUCCACGCCGUAAACGAUGGAUACUAGGUGUAGGGGGUAUCGACCCCCCCUGUGCCGGAGUUAACGCAAUAAGUAUCCCGCCUGGGGAGUACGGCCGCAAGGCUGAA
rnacentral:rRNA from 1 species